AUUAUCGGAAUGCAUUCCAUGACAUACGAACACUUUGGAAUCAGUGUUGUGGAGUAUAUGGCAGCAGGCGCCAUACCAAUUGGUGGGCCAUUUGUAAUUGAUUUUCAUUUACAUGUAGAUAAUUUCUUUUCUGCUAUUAAAUGCUUAAUGUACCAAUUGAGGAUAAGUUGAGAUAAGGGAGAUUGAGGUGAUUUGGUCUUGUAAAGCGUAGACAUAUA
rnacentral:misc_RNA from 1 species